ACGGGUGAGUAACGCGUGGGAAUCUACCGUACCCUACGGAAUAGCUCUGGGAAACUGGAAGUAAUACCGUAUACGCCCUAACGGGGAAAGAUUUAUCGGGGUAUGAUGAGCCCGCGUUGGAUUAGCUAGUUGGUGGGGUAAAGGCCUACCAAGGCGACGAUCCAUAGCUGGUCUGAGAGGAUGAUCAGCCACAUUGGGACUGAGACACGGCCCAAACUCCUACGGGAGGCAGCAGUGGGGAAUAUUGGACAAUGGGGGCAACCCUGAUCCAGCCAUGCCGCGUGAGUGAUGAAGGUCUUAGGAUUGUAAAGCUCUUUCAACGGUGAAGAUAAUGACGGUAACCGUAGAAGGAGCCCCGGCUAACUUCGUGCCAGCAGCCGCGGUAAUACGAAGGGGGCUAGCGUUGUUCGGAAUUACUGGGCGUAAAGCGCACGUAGGCGGGUAUUUAAGUCAGGGGUGAAAUCCCGCAGCUCAACUGCGGAACUGCCUUUGAUACUGGGUAUCUUGAGUAUGGAAGAGGUAAGUGGAAUUGCGAGUGUAGAGGUGAAAUUCGUAGA
rnacentral:rRNA from 1 species